rnacentral:rRNA from 1 species
UGGGGAAUUUUGGACAAUGGGGGAAACCCUGAUCCAGCCAUCCCGCGUGUGCGAUGAAGGCCUUCGGGUUGUAAAGCACUUUUGGCAGGAAAGAAACGUCGCGGGUUAAUACCCCGCGAAACUGACGGUACCUGCAGAAUAAGCACCGGCUAACUACGUGCCAGCAGCCGCGGUAAUACGUAGGGUGCAAGCGUUAAUCGGAAUUACUGGGCGUAAAGCGUGCGCAGGCGGUUCGGAAAGAAAGAUGUGAAAUCCCAGAGCUUAACUUUGGAACUGCAUUUUUAACUACCGGGCUAGAGUGUGUCAGAGGGAGGUGGAACUCCGCGUGUAGCAGUGAAAUGCGUAGAUAUGCGGAGGAACACCGAUGGCGAAGGCAGCCUCCUGGGAUAACACUGACGCUCAUGCACGAAAGCGUGGGGAGCAAACAGGAUUAGAUACCCUGGUAGUCCACGCCCUAAACGAUGUCAACUAGCUGUUGGGGCCUUCGGGCCUUGGUAGCGCAGCUAACGCGUGAAGUUGACCGCCUGGGGAGU